ACCCUAUUAUAAAAAAUAUAAAUAAUGAUAUUAGGGUAGUAUUAGUUAUGUUCUUGAAAUUUAAAAAAUUUGGCGGUAUUUUAGUCUUUUCAGGGGAACCUGUCCUGUAAUUGAUAAUCCACGAUUAAUUGUACUUAGUUUAUAAGUUUAUAUAUCGUCGUAGUUUGAAUAUUCUAAAAGGAUAAUAAUAUUCAUAAUUUAAUAUAAUUAAAAAAAAUCAGAUCAAGGUGUAGCUAAUAAUUGAGUAGAGAUGGGUUACAAUAAAUUUAUUUAAAAUGGUUAUAAUAUUUAAAAUUAUUAUAUAAAGUGGACUUGAAAGUAAUAUAUUUAAUUUAAAAUAUAUGAUUAAAGCUCUAAAAUAUG
rnacentral:rRNA from 1 species